rnacentral:tRNA from 1 species
AAAAAGGUAAGCUAAAUAAAGCUAUUGGGUUCAUACCCCACUUAUGAAAAAUAUUCCCUUUUUA